UGCGUAGGCGGUUAGUUAAGUCUGUUGUGAAAUCCCCGGGCUCAACCUGGGAAUGGCAAUGGAUACUGGCUAGCUAGAGUGUGUCAGAGGAUGGUGGAAUUCCCGGUGUAGUGGUGAAAUGCGUAGAGAUCGGGAAGAACACCAAUGGCGAAGGCAGGUCUCUGGGCCGUCACUGACGCUGAGGAGCGAAAGCGUGGGGAGCGAACA
rnacentral:rRNA from 1 species